GAAGAUGUUCUUGAGAAUCGCGCC
rnacentral:siRNA from 1 species